CUUAUUCCUUAUUUGGAGAAGAGGAACUUCAUGAGGAAUGACAUUGUAUGUAGAGGCCAGAAGUCAACUUCAGUGUUAUUCCCAAGGAGCUAUCCAACUUGUUUUUGCAAUGAAUUCUCUAACUGGGACCUAAAUCUUCCUAAUGAGACUAUGCUGGCAGCUCAGGGAGCCCCAGAGGUAUCCCUAUCUCUGCCUCCACAGCUCUGGGAAAAUGGAAAGCUAUGGAUUCCUUAUAGACUAAUAUGGCUUGAUGAAGCAAGGCCCCCUGAAGCAGCAGUGGCCCAACUGACCCUAAAUCCAAAACAGCUGAGAAGAGGCAGUCAUGGACCACUACAGCCAGAUUUCUGUGUUUUGUCAUGAUCCCCAUGAUAUGGACAUUGCCCCAACCAGCAGGAAGCAGUUUGGAAUGAACAAUGCCCAAAUUCCCAAAUAUUGUUUAUAAAUGUUUGUUUUCAUUUAAAUGGUGUUCAUUAUAAAUGGUAACGAUCAAGUCAAUUUCUUUCUAAAGAAAAAAAGGAGGAAUAGGAUAUAGAAAGGAA
rnacentral:lncRNA from 1 species